GACGAACGCUGGCGGCGUGCUUAACACAUGCAAGUCGAACGAAGUGGCGAACGGGUGAGUAACGCGUAAUCAACCUGCCCUUCAGAGGGGGACAACAGUUGGAAACGACUGCUAAUACCGCAUACUGAAGGUGGGGAUUGCGUCUGAUUAGCUAGUUGGAGGGGUAACGGCCCACCAAGGCGAUGAUCAGUAGGCGGUCUGAGGGGGUGAACGGCCACAUUGGGACUGAGAAAAGGCCCAGAAUCCUACGGGAGGCAGCAGUGGGGAAAUUGUCGGAAUGGACGGAAGUCUGACGGAGCAACGCCGCGUGAGUGAUGAAGGGCUUCGGGUUGUAAAGCUCUGUUAAUCGGGACGCGGUACCGGAAUAGAAAGCCACGGCUAACUACGUGCCAGCAGCCGCGGUAAUAC
rnacentral:rRNA from 1 species